UACGAAGGGGGCUAGCGUUGCUCGGAAUGACUGGGCGUAAAGGGCGCGUAGGCGGAUGGCUUUGUCGGGCGUGAAAUUCCAGGGCUUAACCUUGGGGCUGCGUUCGAGACGGGUUAUCUUGAGUGGGGAAGAGGGUCGUGGAAUUCCCAGUGUAGAGGUGAAAUUCGUAGAUAUUGGGAAGAACACCGGUGGCGAAGGCGGCGACCUGGUCCGAUACUGACGCUGAGGCGCGAAAGCGUGGGGAGCAAACAGG
rnacentral:rRNA from 1 species